UUACUUAUCAGUUUAGAUGUUUGGAGUGUUUGAUGUUAGCCACUCUCUCAGUUUUGGUUCACUUUAUUCUAAUAUAUGAAUUAUUUUGUUUCUGUUUUUUGAGGUUUGGUCGUGACAAGGGCAGACUUUCCCGGAAGAUCAGAAAGAUCUGUACAAACAAAUUUGAUGAUCCUUUCUACAGUUGGAGUGUUGUUCCUACGGAUGAUGACAAUGAGCUCUUCCUUAAGUCCACUUUCACGAGUAAAAGAGGCAGACCCUAUGGAUUAGGCAGUCUGGAGGAUACUCUUGUGAAUGGGAAGCGGAAGUAUGCUGAAUGCUCAUCUUCAGCAUUCUUGGACCUCCAACAACAGCUGGCUGUGAAGCUCACCGCAAGAUCCAGAAGCAGGCAGCUUACAACUCCAAGCUAAAAAGGCAGCAAAACAAGCAGGCAAAACACUUUUCUAUAAUGGAAAAGUUUUUGUCUGCUAAUAAUCCUAUGUAUGUGGAAUUCAAAGCUUCUAAU